ACAAAACAAAAUGGGACGGAGGAUUAUAUAACACGCUGACAUUUGCCUUCUCUAAAAACAAAGAUACUUCUAAUGCAGAAACCCCUUCCCUUAUAGGCUUCAAAUUUUAGGGUUUGUAUUUUUGUUCUACCUCACCCAAUAAAAUGUCAACUUUAAUCUCUGGCUUAAAAGAAACCGCCCGAUCCGUCACCGCAAUCCGCCGCCCCUGGCGAGACUUCCUCGACAUCACCGCCUUCGACUUCCCAUUUUCCUUCUCCGACGCCACCACCCGAAUCGCCCAAAACCUAACCCAUUUCCGCCUUAAUUACACGAUAAUCCUCCUCUUAAUUCUCUUCUUAUCCCUAAUUUUCCACCCUCUCUCUCUCCUUACUUUCCUCGUCAUCCUCCUCGCUUGGUUCUUCCUCUACUUCGCCCGCGAUAGCCAAGAGCAGCCUGUUGUGAUCUUCGGCUUCACGAUCAACGACUGGCUCGUCAUCGGUGCGCUCAUCGGCUUGACGGUGGCUGGCCUUGUUUUGACCGGUGUUUGGGUCAAUGUCCUGGUUGCGGUUGCCAUCGGGUGUAGUUUGGUAGUCUUGCAUGCCGCAUUGAGGAGUACGGACGAUUUGUUGAUGGAUGAUUUGGAGUCGCCGUAUGGACACGUACUUGCUGGUGGGGAUGAGGAGCUUGAUAGCCCGAGAGGGGAUUACACUGUCUGGCGAGCUUGGUUAAAGGGAUAUGCUAGUAACAGAGAGUGAAAAUGUUGGAAUGAAGAGGUAGAUUGAUUGUUGUAGCAUUUUUCGGAAGAUGGUGCAUGGGAUAGGAUACUGGUUUUGUGCCGUCUUGGCAGCCUCGCUGUGUUCAUUGGAUAAUAGGUGCAGUGAGAAACUUGGGAGGCCGUUACAAGCUUUCAAGAUGUGCAAAUGAAGUAUGGAUUGCUAAAGGAGAGUCUUGAAGGAUUGUCAGAAAUAAUGCAGGACUGGCUUGGAAAGCUUUUGCAGGAAUCCCCAUGCAUACAGCAGUUCUUGGUGAGAGUCCUGUAUCAUGAGCUUGAGGUUAGAUGCUUUAAAGUUUCAGCUGCCCUAGGAAGGGGAUUCAGAAGCUUAUUGUAGCAAAAGCUUUCUGCACAUGCUUAAUGAGAAGGGCAUCAGCCAUUAAGACUGCCCUUGAAAGUAACGUCCACUCUUAAGAACCAAAAUCUCCCAACCUUUGAUUUAAGUUUUAAUUUAUGCAUAUUCAGAACGUAACCAAUCAUCUCAUUCUAUUACAAGGAAUGAAGUCGAAAAAAACAAGAAAAAUUUAAGCUGGACAAAAACUCGGGUCAAAGAGAUGAGCUAAAUUACAUGCCUCGUAGUUAUAAGACUGUAAAAAUGCUUAGACAGUAAAUAGUUAACUCCUUUU